CUGCAUUCAGGCAGAUUGAUGGAACCUGCUAUCAGACCCUUUCAUCCCAAGGCCUGAAGAGGGCACAGCUGUUUCUAAAUCACUCUCCUUAGAACAAGCUGUGGGGAAAUGUGUCCCUUAAAGGUUACAAACAGCAUCAGGUUGACAAGGGACUUACUGUCUACACCCAAAUCACUUCUCAACAGUACAGCAGCUCAAAUGAUGACAACCUCACUCUCAGCUGGAGCAUAUUUGGGGCUAUACCCUGUGAAAGUCAGAGCCCUUCCAUUUUCUUAACUGAAUAGUAUUUAUGAUUAGUCACUCGGUGCACGCUGAUUUCUCUCCCUUGGCUACUGCUACUUUUUUCCUCUUUCUUAUUACUUCUCCUUACUUGUUGUUUUUCUCUACUGGGUUCCCCCAAAACUAAGCACCUUAAUCCUUGAAUGUUUUCUGGGACUUGUAAUGGGACUGCAAAUUUCCCUCCAUAUUCCUUAGUUAAGACUGAUUUGCUGUACAUUAAUUGGAGUUUUUUUUUUUUAAUUAUAAAAGAGGAACUUGUUGUCCAAAAUCCCUCUAUAAUCUAGAAGAAGAACUCUUGGGGCAAUUGCUUUGCUGUGCCUUAGGGACUGGACCUUCUUCCAGGACAUCCUGUCUCAUUACACACUCUGC
rnacentral:lncRNA from 1 species